rnacentral:piRNA from 1 species
AGUUACUUCACUGACUCCCAACAGACACG